rnacentral:rRNA from 1 species
UACGUAGGGGGCAAGCGUUGUCCGGAAUUAUUGGGCGUAAAGAGCUCGUAGGCGGUCUGUCGCGUCGGCUGUGAAAACCCGGGGCUCAACCCCGGGCCUGCAGUCGAUACGGGCAGACUAGAGUGCGGUAGGGGAGACUGGAAUUCCUGGUGUAGCGGUGAAAUGCGCAGAUAUCAGGAGGAACACCGGUGGCGAAGGCGGGUCCCUGGGCCGUAACUGACGCUGAGGAGCGAAAGCGUGGGGAGCGAACAGG